AGCUCAGCGGUUGAGCGCUCGCUUCACAACCGAUAGGUCGGUGGUUCGAACCCACC
rnacentral:tRNA from 1 species